CCGCGGUAAGACGUAGGGGGCCAGCGUUACCCGGAAUUACUGGGCGUAAAGGGAGCGUAGGCGGGAGGUCAAGUCCGGUGUGAAAGACCCUGGCUCAACCAGGGAUGAGGGCUGGAAACUGACAAUCUUGAGUACAGCAGAGGAAGAGGGAAUUACCGGUGUAGGGGUGAAAUCCGUAGAGACCGGUAAGAAGGCCAGUGGCGAAGGCGCUUUUCUGGGCUGUUACUGACGCUGAGGCUCGAAAGCCAGGGGAGCAAACCG
rnacentral:rRNA from 1 species